CAGUUUAAUAUCUGAUACGUCCUCUA
rnacentral:piRNA from 4 species